GAAGGUGGUCAUUCCACACAGGUAAAUACUACAGCAAAUAUACCAGGUAAUGAAGAUGGUCAUUACACACAGGUAAAUACUACAGCAAAUAUACCAGGUAAUGAAGAUGGUCAUUACACACAGGUAAAUACUACAGCAAAUAUACCAGGUAAUGAAGAUGGUCAUUCCACACAGGUAAAUUACUACAGCAAAAAUACCGAGUAGACAGCUACAACAAAACGGUCAUUACACACAGAAAAAUUACUACAGCAAAUAUACCAGGCAAUGAGGGUGGUCAUUAGACACAGGUAAAUUACUACAGCAAAUAUUCCGAGUAGACAGCUACAACAAGGUGGUCAUUACACACAGGUAAAUUACUACAUCAUAUAUACCAGGCAAUGAGGGUGGUCUUUAGACACAGGUAAAUUACUACAGCAAAUAUACCGAGUAGACGGCAAAAACAAGGUGGUCAUUACACACAGGUAAAUUACUACAGCAAAUAUACCAGGCAAUGAGGGUGGUCAUUAGACACAGGUAAACUACUACAGCAUAUAUACCAGGUAAUGAAGGUGGUCAUUACACACAGGUAAAUUACUAUAGCAAAGAAUACCAGGUAAGGAAGGUAGUCAUUACACAAAGGUAAAUUACUACAGCAAAAAUACCGAGUAGACGGCAAUAUGAAGGAUGUCAUUACACACAUGUAAUUACUACAGCAACUAUAUCGAGUACUUGGGCACAUUGAAAGUGGUCAUUACACACACGUAAAUUACUACAGCUAAUAUAUCGAGUAGACGGCAAUAUGAAGGGUGUCAUUACACACAUGUAAAUUACUACAGCAACUAUAUCGAGUACUUGGGCACAUUGAAAGUGGUCAUUACACACACGUAAAUUACUACAGCUAAUAUAUCGAGUAGACGGCAAUAUGAAGGGUGUCAUUACACACAUGUAAAUUACUACAGCAACUAUAUCGAGUACUUGGGCACAUUGAAAGUGGUCAUUACACACACGUAAAUUACUACAGCAACUAUAUCGAGUACUUGGGCACAUUGAAAGUGGUCAUUACACACAUGUAAAUUACUACAGCUAAUAUAUCGAGUAGACGGCAAUAUGAAGGGUGUCAUUACACACAUGUAAAUUACUACAGCAACUAUAUCGAGUACUUGGGCACAUUGAAAGUGGUCAUUACACACAGGUAAAUUACUACAGCUAAUAUAUCGAGUAGACG